rnacentral:rRNA from 1 species
UUUCGCAAUGCCCGAAAGGGUGACGAAGCGACGCCGCGUGCGGGAAGAAGGCCUUCGGGUUGUAAACCGCUGUCGGGAGUUAAGAAAUGUAAGGAUGUUAAUAGCAUCUUUGCUUGACUAAGGCUCCGGAGGAAGCCACGGCUAACUCUGUGCCAGCAGCCGCGGUAAUACAGAGGCGGCAAGCGUUGUUCGGAAUUAUUGGGCGUAAAGAGCACGUAGGCGGCUAUGUAAGUCGGUUGUGAAAGCCUUCCGCUCAACGGGAGAACAGCAUCCGAUACUGCAUGGCUUGAGUGCGGGAGGGGAGAGUGGAACUUCUGGUGGAGCGGUGAAAUGCGUAGAUAUCAGAAGGAACGCCGGCGGCGAAAGCGGCUCUCUGGCCCAUAACUGACGCUGAGUGUGCGAAAGCUAGGGGAGCAAACGGGAUUAGAUACCCCGGUAGUCCUAGCUGUAAACGAUGGGCACUAAGUAGAGGGGUU